AACCUAAAGAAUUUGGCGGUAUUUUAGUCUGUUCAGAGGAAUUUGUCUCGUUAUCGAUAAUCCUCGUUUUAUCUUACUUGAUUUUGUUUUCAGUUUGUAUACCGCCGUUAUAAGUUUAUUUUUUUAGAAUUUAAUAAUUUACUUAUAAAUUAAUUUAUUUUUAUUUCAGGUCAAGGUUCAGCUUAUGAUUAAGUGUUUGAUGAAUUACAAUUUUAUUUAUAAAAACGAAUUUGAAUUUUAAAAUUUUAAUGAAGGUGGAUUUGAUAGUAAUUUUUACUAUAAUAUAUUUUUGAUCUUAGCUCUAAAAUGUGUACACAUCGCCCGUCGCUCUA
rnacentral:rRNA from 1 species